rnacentral:rRNA from 1 species
GAUUAGUGAUAAUUCAUUUAGUUGAUUUUUUUUUUCUUCAAAAAAAUUUUAAAUUUAUAGUAUUGUUGUUAGAAGUAUUGAUGGUUAGUGGAGCUGUAAAGGUUAAUGAUGGUGUUUAUGCGGGUAGAACCUAUUAUUUGGGGUACCUUUUGUAUCAGGGGAUAAUGAAAUAUUAAGUAAGGAAGUUGUCUCGAAAUGUUAUGAGCUAAUAGUUUAUUAUGAAAUGUUGCAUAAUUAAGGAGAGGGCUAUUAGGUUAGUGAAAUGCUAGUCGUAUAAUGUGAUAUCUAGUUGAUGGUUUAGUAAGGAAUUGCUUUAAAUAAUUUAUAUUGUUAUUUGUAAGAAAUAUAUUAGUUAUUUAUGUAUGCUUUAAGGGAUUAGCUUUUUAGUAAAUUAUAUUUUUAUUAUUUAUUAAUUUUAUUUUAGGUUUAAUAGUAACUUUAUUGGGAGUGUGUUAUUACUUUUAUAUUAUUUUGUAUUGAUUUAUGAUUAUAUUAAUAUUAUUGAUCAUUUGUUUAUUAAAAUUUUAUUAGUAUUGUGAUAGUGUUAUUAUUAGUAGAAUGUGAAUUAGGUGUUGUACUGAAAUAUAAUGUUUAAUUAAGGGACUCAAUAGCUUUUCGACUGUUUAUCAAAAACAUUGCUUUUUGUUUAAUAUAAAAAGUAGGACCUGCUCACUGAAGAGAUUAAAGAGCUGCGAUAUAUUGAUCGUACAAAGGUAGCAUAAUCAUUUGUCUUUUAAUUGUGGACUGGAAUGAAGGGUUUAACGAAGAUUUAUUUGUCUUGAUUUAAUUUAUUGAAAUUAAUUUUUUUGUUAAAAAGCAGAAAUUAUGUUAAAAGACGAGAAGACCCUAUUGAGCUUUAUUUUUAUUAAAAGUUAUUAUUAUUAUUUAUUAAUUUAUUAAUGAGGAUUUUACUGGGGUGGUAGAGGGAUAUUAGUAACUCUUUUUUAUAAUAUUAUUUAUAAAUAUAUUUUUAUCCAAUUAGAUUGAAAUAGUAAAAAGUUACCAUAGGGAUAACAGCGUAAUUUUUUUAUAGAGUUCUUAUCGAUGAAAAAGUUUGCGACCUCGAUGUUGGAUUAGGAAGUUCUAAUUGGUGUAAAAGUUAAUUAAGAUAGUCUGUUCGACUAUUGAAUUCCUACAUGAUCUGAGUUCAAAUCGGCGUGAGCCAGGUUGGUUUUUAUCUUUAAUUAUGAUUGAGUUUUAUUAGUACGAAAGGACCAUAAAAGUGAGAUUAGUCUUAAUUUACUGGGGGAAGUUUAAGUGUUUAUGUAAAUGUGAGGAUUAUAAUAUUAAUAUAG